AAAAAUGCUGCUCUAAACAUCAGAAAAACCACAUUUCGAAAGCAAAUAAAACAGACUGCAUUGUGUAAAACCUUCACAUUUAUAAAAGUAAGCACAUUGAGUAGGGACUCUGCCAUACUAACACAAAUAAACAUAAUUCACCUUUCAAACAAAUCAGAUUUUCAAAUUAGAUCACAAUUGAAAACCAACUCUAUGCUGUAUCCAAGAGGCAUACCCAGAACAAAGUAAUUCUGAAAUGGGAAAAAAAAUGAUGCUUGAAGAAAAUCUAAAACAAAAAGAAUCAGCAGUUAUAUGAAUUUCAGACACGAUGAGAUUCAGGUGAAAAGCACAAAAAUGGGCAUUAUGUAAGAAUAAUGGAUAUAGCUCAUAAUGAAAUUUACAGUUAUGGAUACAAAUACACCAAAUAAUGUAAUCAGCAACUUCCUACAGCAGACAUCACAGAAGCUACAAUAAGAAAUAACAACUUGUCACUGGGAAUUUUAAUUCACCACCCCCAAUCUAUAAAAAAUCAAAAUGUCCACGUCUCAUAAGCUCAUUAAUAAAUUUAACAUCAUCCCUAUAUAUAUGCCACAAAGCUGGGUUUUGUUUUUUCCAUUAUUGCAAUAAUCUUCCACAGUCAGGUUAAGGAUGAAAAAGGAAGAAGAGUAGGAAAGGGGUCCAGGAAGAGAAGCCAGACAUGAAAGUUCCCAAGGAGACUGAAAUCACAACAUGUCCAAUGAAGAGGAUAAAGUUCAAUGGGGAUUGAGCCUAGACCCUGAUCCUCCAUUUCUGCAUCUUUCAAGUAAGUAUGAUGAUUUCUGCUCUGCCUGUCUUGUAAACUUGCUGUAAAGACAUUUUUCUGAAGGACUCAGCACACCUUGCUCUGGACCCAUGGUGGCACUAGACCCCUGGGUUUCCGCAGCUCAGCAACAUGCAGUCCGAAAGGAAGCUAGUCAGGGAGAUGUUAGUCUCCCCUUUCCCCACACAGAAACACCCCGUGGGUGGGUCUCUGGAAGACCUCUCUCUUGCUCUGAGGCCAGGGAAGCAGAAACAGCACUGUCACGAUGCUUUUCAGAGGAAUCUUCACUCUGCCUCUCAAUCGCUCCUUGGUAUUCGAUAUGUCCUGGAGGCGGAUGAUGGCUUGUGGCCACCUCCCAUAUGCUGCCCCUCUUUUCAGAACGUGGUAAAGCUUGUUACUAUCAUUCUUACUUUUGGGGCUCCAGUGCUCAGAAGCCCUGCAA
rnacentral:lncRNA from 1 species